AGAAGACAGCGCGCUAGCGUAUCUAGUCUAUAUCUGUGGUCGGCACGUCUGGUAGCAUCUGUGGCUGCUGUUGAUCUUGUUUUUGGAGUAAAACACGGUGGAAGCUGAAUUAGUGAGGAUGACUCCUGCUCCUGUCAUCUCUAAGCUCCUCACACAUCUUUACCUGCACAUGAGGAAAAUCACUCCUGUAGAAUGCAGAUGCACAAUGAGGGACGUCUGCAGAGACUGAGAAAGAGUCUCACCACAUCCUGACAUGAGGAAAAAGACUUUAUUGAAGACUACAAUGAGAAAAACUAUCAGACAGCAGACGGCUGCAUUCAAGGUGAGCUCUGAACAUUUGAUCUGGAACAGGAAUUCAAUAACGGCAGCAUGAGCUUCAUUUCAGUCUGUAGCUGCUGAAUUCAUGGAUGAAUCAUCUGGCACUAGAGAGAAGACCAUCAAACAUCCACGUCAGCUGAUGGAGGUCCAAGAGUCUCACCAAAAACAACCUACAGAGUGAAGACCUCAAAUCUGAUUG